rnacentral:rRNA from 1 species
GGACUGAGACACGGCCCGAACUCCUACGGGAGGCAGCAGUGGGGAAUAUUGGACAAUGGGGGCAACCCUGAUCCAGCCAUGCCGCGUGUGUGAAGAAGGCUUUCGGGUUGUAAAGCACUUUCAGUGAGGAGGAAGGCCUUAAGGUUAAUACCCUUGAGGAUUGACGUUACUCACAGAAGAAGCACCGGCUAACUCCGUGCCAGCAGCCGCGGUAAUACGGAGGGUGCAAGCGUUAAUCGGAAUUACUGGGCGUAAAGCGCGCGUAGGUGGUUUGAUAAGCGAGAUGUGAAAGCCCCGGGCUUAACCUGGGAACGGCAUUUCGAACUGUCAGGCUAGAGUGUGGUAGAGGGUAGU